rnacentral:rRNA from 1 species
UACCACGACUAGGCCAGGAACGACGACCUAGGCCGGGAGAGGUGAGGAGGAGGGUCAGACUAGGUUACCGCUGACGUGCUGCAGCUGGAGGGCCUACCGCACUUCAGGGUCGCCGUUGGAGUCCGGGGAACGCCAACCCCAGCUAAACUCCACCGAGGCCACCUUUGUACCUGGUGUAGUGUGACAAUGUCCCCGAGGGCUCCGCUGUAGGUCAACGAGGCACAAGCAAAACGUGUACAAGUAUCACCCGUUGGAGCUCCAGUAGCAGUGAAGCUCGCGCCGCUCUAGGAGCUCCAGCAGUAGUAGUGUCUGUUCCCGUGACCGUCUAGGUUACCGUCGCCUAAGCUCCGCCUCCGCCGGUAAUCCCACACGAACUCAGGCAUGGGCUACUAAUCGCCGGCCUCCCGUUGACGUUGGAACGUACGGAGCCCAGGUCUCCAGGUUCCGUGGUGUUGGUUGACGGAGAAGUCGGUAUACGACGUCUACCAACGGGAAGUUCGUAGUUGUUUAACCUUUUAAGUUCGAGACUACUCUAAUGUUCGUCCCGUCUUUCCCUUAGUUGUGGUAGUGAGGUUUUGUAACUUCCGUCAUCUAAUGGCUCGGACGUAGUACUACCGGGAAGAAAUACAGUCAACAGAACCUGGUCAAUUUCAGACAAGACGACUUACGGAGAAAAUAAACGGUUCGAGGUUACCGAAUGGUUCUACACCGAAAAAAGUACCUGGUUCCGCCUUGUUACCUUCCGUGUUAAGGUUCAUGUCGAGAAGUUCUUGUCCUAGAGACUUCCUUGUUGUUAAAUGUUCGAACCGCGAAUGGUCCUUUGAACCGGAAGUUCAGGACAGACCGUUGAGCUACCUGGUCAUGAUAUUUGACCUUUAUUUCUCUUGACUUCACAGGGGAAGGUACCGCAACCCGCCGGAAAGAGACGGUCCGCGCCGCCGAGGAGCCAGACUCGACACACGUUCCUUCGAGUUCUGUAACCUCCUUUCGUAACAGCCUAUAUACCAUUUGGCGUCCUACAAAAGGGGUGGUACCUACAGAAGAAUACAGUUGGACGAGAACUAUAUAUUAUGCGGUAGUAGAGAACCUCAUACACUCAUGUAAAAGUAUCAAAACGAUUUCAGAUCUUUUCUACAGUUCGUUACCAGACUCUAUUUUGCCUACCGAAGCCUACUACGAAACUUUUAUCAUAUAUAGUUUCUCUACCUCUCCCUAAUACAGCUACAAGUUUUUCUUAGGUAUCUGUUCCCAGGGUUCCGUUACAGCAACCUUCCCCAACUUUUAAAAGACUCGAAAUAUGUUGUUAUAACCUAUACGUUCGUCUUUUUUUUCCGAUUCCGGGGAAAACCAAGUAUC